rnacentral:rRNA from 1 species
UACGUAGGGGGCUAGCGUUGUCCGGAAUCAUUGGGCGUAAAGAGCGUGUAGGCGGUCCGGUAAGUCCGCUGUGAAAGUCGGGGGCUCAACCCUCGAAUGCCGGUGGAUACUGUCGGGCUAGAGUGCGGAAGAGGCGAGUGGAAUUCCUGGUGUAGCGGUGAAAUGCGCAGAUAUCAGGAGGAACACCUAUUGCGAAGGCGGCUUCCUGGACCGAUCACUGACGCUGAGGCGCGAAAGCUAGGGGAGCAAACGGG